UUCUAAGUGUUAGCAAUGGUAUAAAUAAUAUUUUCACCAAAAUGAGAUUUUUAUAGUGAAUUAGAGCAAAAAGUACGAUUAAUGCAUAUUAAUAAGCAUAAUUAAUUCAUAUAAAAAAAAUCAGAUGAUUUUGGACAACUUAACUAUGUAGCCUUGUAGACUACAUCCCACACUAUUAUCAUGCCAAUUUCUAUGGCGUUCGCGCCGCGUUCGACGGAUGAUAUUACAAUUCAUGAUAGCAAACGAGCAUCGGUAAAGUCUCUGAAACGCUCUUCGUGAUUUAUGCUGGUGUUUUUUUUUUUUUUCACAAGAGGCUAUCAGUGUCCUCUCGAAAGCGUCUCAAAGAUUAAUAAAGCUGAUCAUCAACAAGUUCUACACUUACUAUAUUCCAGGCUAGAGGAGACACCCCGGGAGACACUGACGUACAGAACGGGUGGGGGGGGGGGAUUUCACGGUCGAGAAAAAAAAAGAGAAGGAAAAACAAGGAAAGAGAGAAAGGUGAAAUAUAUCACUUUCUGAAUAUAAAGCCAAACUCUAUAACAAAAUCUGAUUUUCAAAAUAAAAAUGUCGAAAUAUUUGCUCACUUGCAACUUUCUUAUUAAUUUUACACGAUACGCCAUAUCUUACCCCCUCAAUUUUUUGUGGCUCGAUCAUGAUGCCACUAAGAGUGGGCAUGGCCCUUUUCUUUAUAUAAAAGUUAAAAGGAGGACAAGAGCUGGAUGGAUCGCUUUUGGGAAUUUCAAUGACAUUAUGAAGAGCAAUAUGCCAAUUUGCCUUAAAAGAAAAGUCUUUAAUCAAUGUGUUAUACCGGCAAUGACCUAUGGUUCCGAAACCUGGUCUGUAACAAAGAAAAUGGAACAGAAAUUAAAAACCACUCAACACAGUAUGGAACGUAUAAUGCUAGGGAUAUCAAAACGCGAUAGGAAAACCAUACAAUGGAUUAGGAGCCAGACUAAAGUAAUAGACAUAAUCAAAGCAAUUAAAUCAAUGAAAUGGAGAUGGGCUGGCCACCUUGCAAGAUCACAUGAUAAUAGGUGGACCAAACGCAUCACAGAAUGGAGACCAUGGCUAGGAUCACGAAAUCGGGGUAGACAGAAAUUGAGAUGGAGUGACGAGCUCACAAAAUUCAUUGGUGUUGUAGCGCCUGAAGGUUCUAACGUAGAGGGCGCAGAAAAAAAAGAGAAGAACGAACGGAAAACAGAUAGAAGAUCGGGGGAGAUACAAGAAUUGUAAUCCAGAUUAAUCGUUGACAGACCUCAAUCAUCAUGCCUGGAACGAACAGGGAACUGUGGAUGGGAUGUACUCAGUGUCAUCGUCAGUUCAAGACAGUUGAGGACUUGAAAGACCACGCAGAGCGUUCACACCCUCCAAGACAGCACAACUGCCAGAAAUGCUCAUAUACCAGCAAUCGCAGAUAUGAUGUGGAAAGACACUUCCGCAAUGUCCAUGGAGAGAGUCGAAGGCCGGAACGUGAUCGACACACAUCCCCCGAAAGACCUACACCAGUUCGCGCUGUGAAAAGCAUGAUUGUGCCGGCACCAGAGGGAACCCAGCAAGGAAAACAGAAAGACAAAAAGAGAGCCCGCUCAGAGACCCCGCUCUCCUUGAAUCCACAGUCCGACCAGGAGCUGUCAGCUGGAGAGUACACUGGUCCCUCCGCGCCCUUUGUGGUAGACGAGGCCAAGGGCGAGGUCGCGAGAAAGGCGUUGUCUGUACAACGAAGAGAGAAGAAGAGAGGACGUCAUUAUCGUCGAGUAACCGAGACCGUUGUUUUUCCCGAUGGCCGGCUGUUCAGGGUGGAGACUGAAGAGUGCGAACUUUGUUCUUGUUGUUGUUGUUUUUUUUAAUGUAAAUAUAACCUUGCUCUAGAUGUGUUUGCAAAUAUUGAACCUUGGUUUUGUUUUAAUUCGAAACGAGGACGUUUCAUUCUAAGAAGAGGGUAGUGUAGCGCCUGAAGGUUCUAACGUAGAGGGCGCAGAAAAAAAAGAGAAGAACGAACGGAAAACAGAUAGAAGAUCGGGGGAGAUACAAGAAUUGUAAUCCAGAUUAAUCGGUAAAUUGACCUAUAUAAUCCGUUAUUAUUGUUCAUGAUUGGAUUAUGGAAUACUUACUGAAUAAAUUGUGUUAAUGUGAAUGAAAACUGAUCACAGAAGGAUUCUUGUUUUAGCGUGAAUCAAUGGUGUGUGAUUGACGUAUACGUGAGUUCAGUGAGAGCUACAUUGGAGCACACGGAGAAGAUUGAUUUGGCGAGAUUUGAGAGUGGGGAGCGUUACAGUAUAAAUUGGAUUGCGUCAGCACAAGACAAGCACCUUUGGCACCAACUUGAGGAGGCCUUCGCCCUGCAGUGGGCUGAACAUGGCUGAUAUGAUGAUGA